AGGAGGGGCCCCGGGAGGCUGGGAGUAUGCUCAGGCAAACGUGAAAUACAAGCCCUGAAAGCUAAGCCCCAAAUCCAAAUAUGCUGUUACGCAAAGCGUCCACAGAUGGGCUCGUGCUUGGUUAUCGUAUGAGGUUACUAGUUGGCAUGUACUGCGCAAUUCUCUGGCAUGCCCGUGGCUCAUCAGGGGCAUUCCUUCCUGAGUCAACGCUGACCCGCAGCCUGGCUCAGGGAGGACGCUUCAGCCUCGUCCAAGGAGGCCAUCGUUUUACGCGAAACCUAAAGCUCACAGUCCUGUUUUGCUGGCGUCAUCCUGCUUGGCUUUUCAUCUCCAAGGAUGACCCGCCCCAGAGUUUAAAAGAGCUCACAUCUUAGAGGAAUUCAACUGAGGGUGAUUGGAGAAUACGAAGACUAUCCAUUUAUUUUGUUAGGCUCUUAAAAGCGUCAAGGAAAGCAGGUACCUGGAUCCUCCUUACCAACAAGGAAACCCAGAGUACCACCUCUUUAAGUGAGAGGUGCAUCAGAACACGGCCAUCAACCCUAGCAAGUGCACAGAGCCAGCGUGUCCCCAGCAUCAACACCUUCCAGCAGAGAAAUUGAGUUCAUUUGCCAGCAACCAACUCCAGGAGACAGUGCCGGAGAGCACUAGGACCGCUUGAGGUCACUUCUGGGAGGUAAAGCCACUGGAAGGUUCUAUUUCAAAAGAAGAAGGAAUAUGAGUAUGACCAAGAAAAUCUUUCCAUUUGUAAAAAUAAUGUAAACUCUUUAGAGUAUAAUGUCCUGCAGAGCAGGAGAAUUGUACAACAGCAAUAA